AGUCGAACGAGAACGGAUUAUAGCUUGCUAUAAUUGUCAGCUAAGUGGCGCACGGGUGAGUAAUGUAUAGGUAAUAUGCCUCUUACUAAGGGAUAACAAAUGGAAACGUUUGCUAAUACCUUAUACUCCUUAUUAACAUAAGUUAAUAAGGGAAAGAUUUAUUGGUAAGAGAUUAGCCUGUAUUGUAUCAGUUAGUUGGUGGGGUAAUGGCUUACCAAGACUAUGACACAUAACUGGUUUGAGAGGAUGAUCAGUCACACUGGAACUGAGACACGGUCCAGACUCCUACGGGAGGCAGCAGUGGGGAAUAUUGCACAAUGGACGAAAGUCUGAUGCAGCAACGCCGCGUGGAGGAUGACACAUUUCGGUGCGUAAACUCCUUUUAUAUGAGAAGAUAAUGACGGUAUUAUAUGAAUAAGCACCGGCUAACUCCGUGCCAGCAGCCGCGGUAAUACGGGGGGUGCAAGCGUUACUCGGAAUCACUGGGCGUAAAGAGCAUGUAGGCGGAUUAAUAAGUUUGAAGUGAAAUCCUAUAGCUUAACUAUAGAACUGCUUUGAAAACUGUUAAUCUAGAAUGUGGGAGAGGUAGAUGGAAUUUCUGGUGUAGGGG
rnacentral:rRNA from 1 species